rnacentral:rRNA from 1 species
UACGAAGGGGGCUAGCGUUGCUCGGAAUUACUGGGCGUAAAGGGCGCGUAGGCGGACAGUUAAGUCAGAGAUGAAAGCCCAGGGCUCAACCCUGGAAUUGCCUUUGAUACUGGCUGUCUUGAGUACGGGAGAGGUGAGUGGAACUCCGAGUGUAGAGGUGAAAUUCGUAGAUAUUCGGAAGAACACCAGUGGCGAAGGCGACUCACUGGCCCGUUACUGACGCUGAGGCGCGAAAGCGUGGGGAGCAAACAGG